UACGUAGGGUGCAAGCGUUAAUCGGAAUUACUGGGCGUAAAGCGUGCGCAGGCGGUGAUGUAAGACAGAUGUGAAAUCCCCGGGCUCAACCUGGGAACUGCAUUUGUGACUGCAUCGCUGGAGUACGGCAGAGGGGGAUGGAAUUCCGCGUGUAGCAGUGAAAUGCGUAGAGAUGUGGAGGAACACCGAUGGCGAAGGCAGCCUUCUGGGCCAAUACUGACGCUCAUGCACGAAAGCGUGGGGAGCAAACAGG
rnacentral:rRNA from 1 species